GAUAUAAGGGUCAGCAGGGAUGAAAUCGAACUACAUAUUCACACACAUUCAGUACUAGCCUACAUUCUAUAAUGAAGUGGAACACUGAUAAAGGUAUAGUUUAUGGUUUUUAUUUAAAACUGUAUUUUUGAUGACUGCUGUUAGUUAAAACGUCCACUAGAUGGCAUUAUAUGAUCUUGCAUUGCACUAAAACCAGGUAUAUGAGCGUUGCAUUUUGGGAAAUGAAGAUGCUAUGAACGCUAAUGGAGAAAACGCUAACGCUAGCGCGACCUCUUUCAAACCAAAGAAAAACUGACGAGUUCCAGACUGCUCUAAUCAGCGAAUUACAUCUGAGUUCUGUGUGAUACAAGUGUCUGACAGAAUUGAUGUCAAGGAGGAUUCGGCCUGAUUCAAUGAGGGAUUGAGGACCAAUUUUUUUCAACUUCAGCCAACUGUUGGAGCAUCACCCAAAGCAGAUAAGGUCGUGGAGGAAAAGACGUUAGUUUGACCAAUAAGCUACAUUGUAGCUUAUGACACAAUUGAAGUGGGCGUCAACUGUUCCUCCGGCUUUUGGCACAUUUAAAUGGAGGCCAGUAUCCGGACGAGUCCAGGUUACCUGCUGAUAUCGACAAAGAGAAGCACAGGAUAAAUUGCCACUCAGUGACGGUAUGAAUGUGGGUGCCAAUGGUCGUCUGUCUCUUUGUGUACCCUGUGAUUAAUCAUUUCAGCGUGCUGCCCGUCUUCCAUUGCAAGUAUUGGUGGCUCGGUGGUAGAGUUUUCGCACGCUGCGCGGGAACCCCGAGACUGAUGCCCGGGCACGCCGAUGCAUCUUGGGGUAGCCUUUGCAGCUAGCCUCGCAUCGGGGCAACAGUUCCGCUACGACAACGCGAGCAGACCAGGAUAUACGGUGUUGGAAAUGUCCCACACUACAACAAAUCAUUAGUUUAUCCACACUGGUUUGAGUGCAAUAUUGUUGUGGUUGGUUCGUUGUUUAAAAUGUGUAAAAGAAAUAAUGUUUGUUUUGCAUGUGGGAUGAGAAUUCAGUAAAACGGCAUGUGAGGGACUAACUUGUCCCCCCCCUCCACAGUACUUAAGUUACUGAAUAUGUAUAUAAAAAUGGAUCUUAAGCUACUAUACCGAGUGUGGUUUGAUUGUCAAUAUCAGUUUGCAUAUGACUGAUGAAAAAGGUAAAAUUUCAGAUUUGAAGAAGUCCAUUGGAACUGUUUUGAAAUAAAAAAAACCAUCCCACCUUGUUUCCAAUUGCCAAAUAUAUAUGCCUUGUAGACUGAAGUGCAAAUUGUGUUUAUUCACAGAUGCAAGACAGUGUUAAAGUAUAAGAAUAAAAUGUCGCAGUAAGGUUUAUUGACCACAUAUUAUAUGUACAUAAUAUAAUUAUAUAUAAGGAAUGUUUGUAUAUAUAAUUUAUGUUUGUACAUAUGAUGUAUGUGUGUAUGUGCAGGGUGAUUCAAAAACAAUGUGCCAAAAUCACACAUUUAUUCCUUUCAAAAUCAUUGACAUAGACUGAAAUGAUUAAUUAAAUUGUUAAUUUGAUAAGAAAGUCUCUUUAUCAAGUAAGUUAACAAAUUUAGUCAUAUCAGCUUGAUUGUCCGUGAUGCUGCUGGUGGUCACAUUGAGCACUUGUAAAGCAUGAAAUAAAAACAAAAAUAUACAAUACUUGUGUCAAUGUAGUUAUUGCCCCCCCAAUUUACCGCAAUGGUUUUGGCCCAUUCUUUUUUUCAUCACCCUGUAUAGUGUAUGUGUGUAUAUAUGUAUGUGUAUAUAUAUACAUUAUUUCUAUAUAUUUAUGCAAAUAUUUUGCGGUACUUCGUGCUGAUUGCAGCUAUGCUCUGGACCCGCGUUCCGUCGACAUUCGCUGGAAGUGAUGGUAAGUUAAUGCAGCGCCAGCCGUACAACAACAGACGCCGAAUCUCAAUGACGCACCCUGAGCCACCCAGGUUUCAUUUUUGCAACGUGUUGACAGUUAGAGCUGUUCCUGAAUGGGAAACAUUUAGGAGCAUAAAAAUACUGCCAGCUUUAACUUCACGGCUGGUAAUGACAGUGUUAGACAUCCGAUCUUCCUUUCCAUCCACUCCCAGUCAAAAUGGAUUCGACAUGUAGUACAAACAUGGCACCCAAAAUAUUGUUUCACAUGUGUGCGUGCGCAAAAAGUAUUCCACAUGUAUGCGCGUAAGUGUCUCACAUGUAUAAGCGCAAAGAUUUCACAUUCAUGCGCGUGAGUGUCUCACA